rnacentral:rRNA from 1 species
GGAUAGGAAAGCCGGGUCGAGGACCUGGUACUCAAGGAGGGGCUCAUGUCCUAUCAGCUUGUUGGUGGGUAACGGCCUACCAAGGCUACGACGGGUAGCUGGUCUGAGAGGAUGAUCAGCCACACUGGCACUGAGAUACGGGCCAGACUCCUACGGGAGGCAGCAGUGAGGAAUAUUGCGCAAUGGGCGAAAGCCUGACGCAGCGACGCCGCGUGGGGGAUGAAGGUUUUCGGAUUGUAAACCCCUUUCAUGAGGAAAGAUAAAGUGGGUAACCACUUAGACGGUACCUCAAGAAGAAGCCACGGCUAACUUCGUG